GUCUCUUUGACAUUCGAUAAAAUUGAAACGAUACAUAGAAGAUUAGUAUGACUCCUGAGCAAGAAUGACACACAAAUCAAGAAAUGAUUCCAAUAACUUU